GUGGUAUAUGAAUUACAUAACGUAUAUUGAUCAUAGCUGCUUUAUUUGGGUCAAGUAGGUUUAACAAUAUAUUGUGUUCAGUCUAUGUUUCUACCUCGUUGCUAGUACUUGUUUUGAGCUAAUUAUAUUUUUUAACAACAUUCAACCAAUUAUCAACAUUUGACAUAGUUCAUUUACAUUAAUUUUUAAUUUCUUUUCUUUAUUCUUUACGCUAUUAUAUGUUGUUGCGUGGGAAAAGUUAAAUCACACUUUAUAACCCUGUGAGAAAUUAAAAGACCAAUAUUGAUUUUUGCAUCCAUCGGUUAUUCACCCACAAUGCUUUUUAGAUCUGUUUUUACGUUUUGCAUUGUCUCGACGUCCAAUCAACCAAUAUCGAUUGGAAUCUACAUCAAUUGUACGAUAAUCAAAUACAGCUAUAACAGAGUUGUUGAUACCUAAUACUGUAUAGAAUUUUAAUAGCUUUGAAUUCACAUUUUCAUGUUUGCGUAAAAAAAUGAUUUUUUUUACGUGCAGUAUCUAUAAUAAUGUGAUGUAAUGUAUAACAAAUGACAACUUUUCAAGUCUAGCAUAUUCUGUGGCCACAUACAUCGAUAGAAGAGUUGUAGAUACCUAAUACUGUGUAGAGUUUUAUUAUCUUCGAAUUCACAUUCUCAUGUUUGCGCCAUAUAAAUGAAAUUCUAUAUCAUGUGCAGUAUCAUUAACAAUUUGAUGAAUUGUUUAUCAAAUGACAAUUUUCUAGCAUAUUCUGUGGCCACAUUUUUAAACCAGGCGGUUUUGUCGUUCCUGGAUACUUAUAACGCGUUAAAAUAGGAAAGAAGACGGAGAUUAAAAGGUGCCGAGUUGAAACUGAAUUGAAUCGGCGAAAUAUGAGUUGGCCUUGUUAGUCGCCUCGACUUCAGCGCCCUGUUUACUUGAUUGUAACGACAAUUAUUGGCUUCAUUCUGUCAUGUUCAGUUAACAUCCUCCGAUGCGUAUUACUACCCUGAACCAUACACCUUUCCAUCAUAACUAUAUAAUACAUAGGUUAUUUAUGGAUUUGUAUGUUUUGAACACAUUGUAUAACUUUGUAGACCACAUAAUAUCAAAGGCUAUCGGUACGGCAGGUGCUAAAGGUAACAAAGAUCAAAAUAUGUUGUACGCGAUUGAAAACAUCAAUUGUAUUGCAAUGGCAAUCAGAAACACAGAGACAAAUCAGCAUGCUAGAAUAAACUGUAAUAUUUCAUACUGAGAGCCGGACAUAGAGUUAGCAGGCAUUUUGUAUGCAUUGGCGGAUCCAGGGGGCGGGGGUUGCAACCCCCUUUUUAAAAUGGCUGGAUCCGCCUCUGGUAUGAGGUUUCAGCAUUUUGACAAGGGCCUCUUUUCAAUGGGCGAUAGCAGUUCCUCUUCUAAUUGUUAAUCAGCUGGUGUUCAAUUCAUUAAUUCGAAUAAACUUUCAACCUAGUAGAUAUAUUAAGCAAUAUACGAAAACGACCGAUUAAGUUAACGAUUCUAUUUAUAGUUAUCUUAUAACUAAAAUAUCUCAAUGUUUCCAUUUAUACACUUUGUUUUGGUGUUAUGAACAAGGUUAGAUUACAUUACGUAGUCAUGUACAUACUACACCGAUAAACUAAAACCAAGUGCACGGUGUGCUCGUUUUAUCAAAUGAUUUACGCUGUUUGCUAUAGCACUUUCAAAAAAUGAAAAAUUAUAAAUUAGACAACGGUUACUAUUGUAUCAUUUACAAUGAGUUCUGGACCAUAUUAUGCAUUAUACUUAAAGAUUGAAAACGUUUAAUUUUGCAUCAUUAAUGAUGUUCUUCCGAAUAAAUGUUGACCAUUUUACACAAAGAUUGAAUGCGGUUAAUAUUGCAUCAUUAAUGAUGUUCUUCCGAAUAAAUGUUGGCCAUGUUACUCAAAGAUUGAAAACGUUUAAUAUUGCAUCAUUAAUGAUGUUCUUCCGAAUAAAUGUUGACCAUUUUACACAAAGGCUAAAACGGUUAAUAUAACAUCAUUAUUGAUGUUCUUUCGAAUGUUCCUCAUUUUACACGAAGACUGAAAACGGUUGAUAUUGCAUCAAUAAUGAUGUUCUGCAGCAUGUUCAUCAUUUUACACAAAGACGGAAAACGGUUAAUAUAACAUCAUUAAAAAUGUUCUACAAUAUGUUCACCAUGUUACACAAAGACAGAAAACGGUUGAUAUUGCAUCAAUAAUGGUGUUCUGCAGCAAUUUGAUCAUAAUACACCAACACUGAAAACGGUUUAUAUUGCAUCAUUAAUGAUGUUCUGCAAUAUGUUCACCAUUUCACGCAAAGACUGAAAACGGUUUAUAUUGCAUCAUUCAUGGUGUUCUGCAGCAAUUUUAUCAUUAUACACAAACACUGAAAUCGGUUUAUAUUGCAUCAUUAUUGAUGUUCUGCAAUAUGUUCACCAGUUUACACAAAGCUUAAAAAUUAUUGCAUUAUUAACAACAAAAAUGUGCAUGAAUGAAUAUUUUCAUUUGUCCUAUAUAUUACGAACUUAUAUUACAUUAAACGGUAAAAAGUAUCAAUAAAUCAUAUCAAUAGUUUUGCCUUUAGUUCGUAAAUGAUAAAAAAUGCAUUCAAAGAUAAUGAAUGAUUUCACUCUUCGCACUACUUUGUGUCUCGUAAAAGUAAGAUGCCUUAGGUCGUCGUUACAUUAUGUUUUGUUCAAUUCUACCAGCAUUAUUUAAUAUCGAACAAUAAUGAAAAAAUUGUACAAAUUUAAAAUGAAAUAUGUUACUCUUUUUCUUUAAUCAGUUUUAUUUAUGCUACUGAAUAAAUGAUAAGUUGAUUUGUUUAUCACAAACAUCUACACGUAUGACGUUUGUCUCGAAUUGUGGCCGUAAAGUUC
rnacentral:lncRNA from 1 species